rnacentral:lncRNA from 1 species
UUGGGGUGCCAAAGACAGCAUAAAAAGAAUCUAAUAAGGCUUGCAAUUCAUGCUGUUGUGGUGAGGAUAAAUCAUCUGCGGGUUUGGCCAUAUUUUCACAUUCUACAGCACAGAGAAUCACACCAUAACAUCCUGCAUGCAACAACUUGUCCAUCUGUUGACAAGAAAUAGGUUGUGGAGGCUGAGGCUUAGAACUGGACAAACAGAUUUGCUCAUUCCCAU